ACGCUGGCGGCAGGCCUAACACAUGCAAGUCGAGCGGUAGAGAGAAGCUUGCUUCUCUUGAGAGCGGCGGACGGGUGAGUAAUGCCUAGGAAUCUGCCUGGCAGUGGGGGAUAACGUUCGGAAACGGACGCUAAUACCGCAUACGUCCUACGGGAGAAAGCAGGGGACCUUCGGGCCUUGCGCUAUCAGAUGAGCCUAGGUCGGAUUAGCUAGUUGGUGAGGUAAUGGCUCACCAAGGCGACGAUCCGUAACUGGUCUGAGAGGAUGAUCAGUCACACUGGAACUGAGACACGGUCCAGACUCCUACGGGAGGCAGCAGUGGGGAAUAUUGGACAAUGGGCGAAAGCCUGAUCCAGCCAUGCCGCGUGUGUGAAGAAGGUCUUCGGAUUGUAAAGCACUUUAAGUUGGGAGGAAGGGUUGUAGAUUAAUACUCUGCAAUUUUGACGUUACCGACAGAAUAAGCACCGGCUAACUCUGUGCCAGCAGCCGCGGUAAUACAGAGGGUGCAAGCGUUAAUCGGAAUUACUGGGCGUAAAGCGCGCGUAGGUGGUUUGUUAAGUUGGAUGUGAAAUCCCCGGGCUCAACCUGGGAACUGCAUUCAAAACUGACUGACUAGAGUAUGGUAGAGGGUGGUGGAAUUUCCUGUGUAGCGGUGAAAUGCGUAGAUAUAGGAAGGAACACCAGUGGCGAAGGCGACCACCUGGACUAAUACUGACACUGAGGUGCGAAAGCGUGGGGAGCAAAC
rnacentral:rRNA from 1 species